UAGCCGUAAACGAUACUCGCUAGGUGUCGGCCCCGGUGCGACCGUUGUCGGUGCCGUAGGGAAGCCGUGAAGCGAGCCACCUGGGAAGUACGGCCGCAAGGCUGAAACUUAAAGGAAUUGGCGGGGGAGCACCACAACGGGUGGAGCUUGCGGUUUAAUUGGAUUCAACGCCGGAAAUCUUACCGGGACAGACAGCAACAUGAAGGCCAGGCUGAAGACUUUGCCGGAUUAGCUGAGAGGAGGUGCAUGGCGUGUGACUGU
rnacentral:rRNA from 1 species